rnacentral:rRNA from 1 species
AUGACUGCAAUUUUAGAGAGACGCGAAAGUACAAGCAUGCGGGGUCGCUUCUGCAAAUCUAUAACUAGCACUGAAAAUCGUCUUUACAUCAGAUGGUUUGGUGUUUUGUUGAUCCCUACCUUAUUGAGGUCAACAUCUGUAUUUAUUAUCACCUUCAUCGCUGCCCCUCCAGUAGAUAUUGAUGGUAUCCAUGAGCCUGUUUCUGGUUCUUUACUUUAUGAAAACAAUAUUAUCUCUGGUGCUAUUAUCCCUACUUUAGGGGCGAUCGGGUUGCACUUUUAUCCAAUUUGGGAAGGUGCAUCUAUUGAUGAGUGGUUAUACAAUGGUGGUCCUUAUGAGCUAAUUGUUCUACACUUCUUACUUGGUGUAGCUUGUUAUAUGGGUCAUGAGUGGGAACUUAUUUUCCGUCUGGGUAUGCGUCCUUGGAUUGCUACUGCGUAUUCAGCUCCUAUUGCAGUUGCCGCUGCUGUUUUCUUGAUUUAG